rnacentral:rRNA from 1 species
UACGAAGGGGGCAAGCGUUAUUCGGAAUUAUUGGGCGUAAAGGGCGCGUAGGCGGCAUGGCAAGUGGAUGGUGAAAUCCCUCGGCUUAACCGAGGAACUGCCGUCCAAACUGCUUCGCUUGAGACCGGGAGAGGUGAGUGGAAUUCCCAGUGUAGCGGUGAAAUGCGUAGAUAUUGGGAGGAACACCAGUGGCGAAGGCGGCUCACUGGACCGGUACUGACGCUGAUGCGCGAAAGCGUGGGGAGCAAACGGG